rnacentral:lncRNA from 1 species
AUUUUAUAACAGCCAAUGCAUAUAAAUCGUUUCAUUUGAAGUCCCAUGAUUUGCAAUACAACUUUAUCUAUGAAAGGAUAUAUCCUCCUAGCUUCAAGAAUCAUUGCGUAUUUUCUGCUUUGGUAUAAUACUUGACAUGGAAAUGAAGAGAAAAAUGUUAAAUAGGUAACGAAGAAGCUAUGACUUUGGUGAAAGAUAUGCAACCAAACAGAACACUAGGAAAGAAAAGAAGAAAAAAAGAAAAAAGGAAUAUAUGCUCCUAAAAUCAUGGCUAGAAUAAAUGAAGCAAUAAUUAUAUCCUUAAUUUGAAUUAUGGUACAUAAAUUGAAAUUUGAUAUGCUUAAACGUAAUAAACACAAACCUUAAACAUGGAAGGUAAUAAGAUUUGCUAUAUGGUAUUCAUAUGUAAAAAUCAUAUAAUGGAUCCGACUAAAAAAGGAAAAGGAAAAGCAAAAAAAAAAAGGGCUCGCUAGACGACCCUCUGCUUUCCUAAUUCUAAUUUGGUUUGGUUAAGCCUAACAGCCUGAAAAUUUCCUACUUGACGCAAGUUUUCGUAAACCUAAUUCAAAUUGGUGAAUAUUUAUUACUCUAUUAUUAGCCUUUAAAAGUAACACUUCCCACGCAGGAUUUUAAACUCAAUUAAAUCCCUCUUUGUUAAAUUGGUUCAUACUUUUCACUUCUCUUUUUUUCUUUUAAUUAAGCCCGCCUGGUAGUGGUGGGGUUGGCGUUCCACUUAUAGUUGCAGUAUCUUAAGUUUGCUUUCAUCAAGUAAAAUUUGAAGAAAAAUAUGGCAGCAUCAAUUUUAGCGCGAAUCGUAGACUUUCCAGCAGAAGGAAUUAGGCCCAGGAUCUUGUUUGAAAUAAUCUUCUGUAACUUUGCAUUAGUAAUCUUUUUUCCAUUUUUGGACAGGCCAGAUAUGCCAAUUAUGGCGUUUAAAGUGAUGAAGACUUGGUUGACUGCCUUUCACGAGAUAUAUUAGAGAGAAAUACAUCAUAAUUAUAGAUGAAGAAGCACAAAUAUGUGACAGAUGCAACACUGGAAUAAUAAGAGGUAUGAUAUUGUCAAUGUUAGAG